rnacentral:rRNA from 1 species
CCUACGGGAGGCAGCAGUGGGGAAUAUUGGACAAUGGGCGAAAGCCUGAUCCAGCCAUGCCGCGUGUGUGAAGAAGGCCUUCGGGUUGUAAAGCACUUUCAGUGGGGAAGAAAGCCUUGGGGCUAAUAUCCUCGAGGAAGGACAUCACCCACAGAAGAAGCACCGGCUAACUCCGUGCCAGCAGCCGCGGUAAUACGGAGGGUGCGAGCGUUAAUCGGAAUUACUGGGCGUAAAGCGCGCGUAGGCGGUCUGAUAAGCCGGUUGUGAAAGCCCCGGGCUCAACCUGGGAACGGCAUCCGGAACUGUCAGGCUAGAGUGCAGGAGAGGAAGGUAGAAUUCCCGGUGUAGCGGUGAAAUGCGUAGAGAUCGGGAGGAAUACCAGUGGCGAAGGCGGCCUUCUGGACUGACACUGACGCUGAGGUGCGAAAGCGUGGGUAGCAAACAGGAUUAGAUACCCCGGUAGUC